AAGUUGUUGCGGUUAAAAGCUCGUAGUUCGAGCUCAGUUCCGGACUGGCCGGGGAGGUCACCGCCCGGUGCUUCCCCGUCAGGCUCCGAACAGCCUUCGUGAGCGGAGGCCAAGCCGGUUCUGCCGGGGUGCUCUUUACCGAGUGUCCCGCGCGGCCGGCCAGUUCACCUUGAAUAAAUGAGAGUGCUCAAAGCAGGCUACUCUCGAAUACAAUGCCCGAAUGUUACCUGCAUGGAAUGAUGGAAGAUGAUCUCGGUUCCAUUUUAUUGGUGGUGGGAGCCCGAGGUAAUGAUAAACAGGGACUGUCGGGGGCAUCCGUACUACGACGCGAGAGGUGAAAUUCAGUGACCGUCGUAGGACGAACAACAGCGAAAGCAUUUGCCAAGAAUGUCUUCGUUGAUCAAGAACGAAAGUUAGAGGAUCGAAGGCGAUCAGAUACCGCCCUAGUUCUAACCCUAAACGAUGCUGACUAGCAAUUCGCCGUCGUUAUUCCCAUGACGUGGCGAGACGCCCCCGGGAAACCUCAAGUCUUUGAGUUCCGGGGGUAGUAUGGUUGCAAAACUGAAACUUAAAGGAAUUGACGGAAGGGCACCACCAGGAGUGGAGCCUGCGGCUUAAUUUGACUCAACACGGGAAACCUCACCAGGCCCGGACACCAGAAGGAUUGACAGAUUAAGAGCUCUUUCUCGAUUUGGUGGGUGGUGGUGCAUGGCCGUUCUUAGUUGGUGGAGUGAUUUGUCUGGUUAAUUCCGGUAACGAACGAGACUCUGGCCUACUAAAUAGUCGACGGGCGUUUUGGUGCAUGGGCCCCGUUCGACACAGUCUUCUUAGAGGGAUGAGCAGCGAGUAUAGCUGCAGGAGAUUGAGCAAUAACAGGUCUGUGAUGCCCUUAGAUGUCCUGGGCCGCACGCGCGCUACACUGAAUGGGUUAGCGGGUUGUCCUUCUCCGAGAGGAGCGGGAAAUCGCUUGAAAACCAUUCGUGAUAGGGAUUGGGGCUUGCAAUUGUUUCCCAUGAACGAGGAAUUCCCAGUAAGCGCAAGUCAUCAGCUUGCGUUGAUUAAGUCCCUGCCCUUUGUACACACCGCCCGUCGCUACUACCGAUUGAAUGAUUUAGUGAGGCCUUCGGACUGGCGGUCUUGGACUGGGGCGCCGGCGUUCUCCAGCAAUGGGGUGCCGGCGACCCGCCUAGACGGGCCGGAAAGAUGUCCAAACUUGAUCAUUUAGAGGAAGUAAAAGUCGUAACAAGGUUUCCGUAGGUGAAC
rnacentral:rRNA from 1 species